rnacentral:lncRNA from 1 species
CCAAGACAAUGGUGGCACCACCGAUGGCAACGACGAUGAUCGAAGUGAGAAAUAAAGCUGGUCGUCACAGCAUAGGUGGCGGUGGUUGUGGGGGAGCCGACGAGUUGGAUCAAGUUUGCGAGCCCUACUUCUCCUCGAUCAGCGGCUCCUCGCUGGAGGCGGAGGUCACCACCUCUUGCUCUCGCCACCCCUCGGCAAUGGAGGAACCGA